rnacentral:piRNA from 1 species
UCCCAGAACACAUACAUUACCCAUGCAGC